GACGAACGCUGGCGGCGUGCUUAACACAUGCAAGUCGAACGGUAAGGCCCUUCGGGGUACACGAGUGGCGAACGGGUGAGUAACACGUGGGUGAUCUGCCCUGCACUUCGGGAUAAGCCUGGGAAACUGGGUCUAAUACCGGAUAGGACCCUGGGAUGCAUGUCCUGGGGUGGAAAGCUUUUGCGGUGUGGGAUGGGCCCGCGGCCUAUCAGCUUGUUGGUGGGGUGAUGGCCUACCAAGGCGACGACGGGUAGCCGGCCUGAGAGGGUGACCGGCCACACUGGGACUGAGAUACGGCCCAGACUCCUACGGGAGGCAGCAGUGGGGAAUAUUGCACAAUGGGCGCAAGCCUGAUGCAGCGACGCCGCGUGAGGGAUGACGGCCUUCGGGUUGUAAACCUCUUUCAGCACCGACGAAGCGCAAGUGACGGUAGGUGCAGAAGAAGGACCGGCCAACUACGUGCCAGCCGCCGCCGUAA
rnacentral:rRNA from 1 species